UGCUUGCACCUGAUUGAUUUUGGUCGCCAACGAGUGGCGGACGGGUGAGUAACACGUAGGUAACCUGCCCAGAAGCGGGGGACAACAUUUGGAAACAGAUGCUAAUACCGCAUAACAACGUUGUUCGCAUGAACAACGCUUAAAAGAUGGCUUCUCGCUAUCACUUCUGGAUGGACCUGCGGUGCAUUAGCUUGUUGGUGGGGUAAUGGCCUACCAAGGCGAUGAUGCAUAGCCGAGUUGAGAGACUGAUCGGCCACAAUGGGACUGAGACACGGCCCAUACUCCUACGGGAGGCAGCAGUAGGGAAUCUUCCACAAUGGGCGCAAGCCUGAUGGAGCAACACCGCGUGAGUGAAGAAGGGUUUCGGCUCGUAAAGCUCUGUUGUUAAAGAAGAACACGUAUGAGAGUAACUGUUCAUACGUUGACGGUAUUUAACCAGAAAGUCACGGCUAACUACGUGCCAGCAGCCGCGGUAAUACGUAGGUGGCAAGCGUUAUCCGGAUUUAUUGGGCGUAAAGAGAGUG
rnacentral:rRNA from 1 species